rnacentral:rRNA from 1 species
AGCGAACGCUGGCGGCAGGCCUAACACAUGCAAGUCGAGCGCCCGUAGCAAUACGGGAGCGGCAGACGGGAGAGUAACACGUGGGAACGCGCCCUUCGGUUCGGAAUAACUCAGGGAAACUUGAGCUAAUACCGGAUACGCCCUUACGGGGAAAGAUUUAUUGCCGAAGGAACGGCCCGCGUCCGAUUAGCUUGUUGGUGAGGUAAUGGCUCACCAAGGCGACGAUCGGUAGCUGGUCUGAGAGGAUGACCAGCCUCACUGGGACUGAGACACGGCCCAGACUCCUACGGGAGGCAGCAGUGGGGAAUAUUGGACAAUGGGCGCAAGCCUGAUCCAGCCAUGCCGCGUGGAUGAUGAAGGCCCUAGGGUUGUAAAGUCCUUUUAA